CAGGGAUUGCCCUAGGUAACGGCGAGUGAAGCGGCAACAGCUCAAAUUUGACAGCUAGCCUUCGGGUUCGCAUUGUAAUUUGUAGAGGAUGCUUUGGGUAAAACGCCAGUCUAAGUUCCUUGGAACAGGACGUCAUAGAGGGUGAGAAUCCCGUAUGUGACUGGAAAUGUUAACCUAUGUAAAGCUCCUUCGACGAGUCGAGUUGUUUGGGAAUGCAGCUCUAAAUGGGAGGUAAAUUUCUUCUAAAGCUAAAUAUUGGCGAGAGACCGAUAGCGCACAAGUAGAGUGAUCGAAAGAUGAAAAGCACUUUGGAAAGAGAGUUAAAAAGCACGUGAAAUUGUUGAAAGGGAAGCGCUUGCAAUCAGACUUGUUUAAACUGUUCGGCCGGUCUUCUGACCGGUUUACUCAGUUUGGACAGGCCAGCAUCAGUUUCGGCGGCCGGAUAAAGGCAUUGGGAAUGUGGCCUUCACUUCGGUGGAGGUGUUAUAGCCCAGUGUGUAAUACGGCCAGCCGGGACUGAGGUCCGCGGUUUGGGUUAGGAAUUUUGGCUUUAU
rnacentral:rRNA from 1 species